AAAAGACUGAGAUAAAAGCAGAGACCUCUGCUAAGGGCAGGAAGAAGACCCAGAUGAUGAAGUGUACUGUGGUCCUCUUAACUGGUUUCAAAUACCUCUGUGAGGUAGAGAAAAAUUCAGUGGGACAAGCAUUAUUGGACAACGUAUGUGACCAUCUGGAUGUGCUAGAAAGGGACUAUUUUGGGCUCAUGUUUUACGAAAAUGUUGAGGAGAAGGAUGGAUAAAUCAGCUCACACUGUGUAGGCACCUGCAUGGUGGGUAUUAAGGGUGCCUGACACAUGGGAUGGAGACACAUUGGAGGGAUUCUAUGUGAGGAUACCCAAGGCUCAUGGUGACAGUAAAA